rnacentral:rRNA from 1 species
CCACGCCCUAAACGAUGAAUGCUAGUUGUUGCCCUGCUUGUCAGGGCAGUAAUGCAGCUAACGCAUUAAGCAUUCCGCCUGGGGAGUACGGUCGCAAGAUUAAAACUCAAAGGAAUAGACGGGGACCCGCACAAGCGGUGGAGCAUGUGGUUUAAUUCGAAGAUACGCGAAGAACCUUACCUAGGCUUGACAUUGAUAGAAUCUACUAGAGAUAGUGGAGUGCCCUUCGGGGAGCUAAAAAACAGGUGCUGCACGGCUGU